UGAACUAGUGCUUAUGGUUCUUUACAUUCGCAGGAGAAGUUACAUUGUACAUGGAGAACUUGAAACCUGAUAAACACUAAUUGAAGACAUUUGGAUCAGCGUGUGAGAAAACCAAACCGCCAUCAAAUCUUCACAGCUAGAUGAUCAAGAAAUAAAUUCUAAAAGUAUG